rnacentral:rRNA from 1 species
UACGGGGGGAGCAAGCGUUGUUCGGAAUCACUGGGCGUAAAGGGUGUGUAGGCGGUUCGGUAAGUGGAAUGUGAAAUGCUCCGGCUCACCCGGAGUACUGCAUCCCAAACUGCCGAGCUUGAGUAUGGGAGAGGUAGUGAGGAUUCCUGGUGUAGCGGUGAAAUGCGUAGAUAUCAGGAGGAACACCUGCGGUGUAGACGGCUUACUGGACCAUAACUGACGCUGAGGCACGAAAGCGUGGGUAGCAAACAGG